GUGCCAGCCGCUGCGGUAAUACGUAGGUGGCAAGCGUUAUCCGGAUUUAUUGGGCGUAAAGCGAGCGCAGGCGGUUUUUUAAGUCUGAUGUGAAAGCCCUCGGCUUAACCGAGGAAGUGCAUCGGAAACUGGGAAACUUGAGUGCAGAAGAGGACAGUGGAACUCCAUGUGUAGCGGUGAAAUGCGUAGAUAUAUGGAAGAACACCAGUGGCGAAGGCGGCUGUCUGGUCUGUAACUGACGCUGAGGCUCGAAAGCAUGGGUAGCGAACAGGAUUAGAUACCCUGGUAGUCC
rnacentral:rRNA from 1 species